rnacentral:rRNA from 1 species
ACGCCGGCGGUGUGCCUAAUACAUGCAAGUCGAGCGCACUGGCCCAACUGAUAUGACGUGCUUGCCCUGAUUUGACGAUGGAUUACCAGUGAGCGGCGGACGGGUGAGUAACACGUGGGCAACCUGCCCUGGAGCGGGGGAUAACAUCUGGAAACAGGUGCUAAUACCGCAUGACUACUAAAACCACCUGGUUUUAGUAUAAAAGAAGGCUUCGGCUUUCACUCUAGGAUGGGCCCGCGGUGCAUUAGCUAGUUGGUAAGGUAACGGCUUACCAAGGCGAUGAUGCAUAGCCGAGUUGAGAGACUGAUCGGCCACAAUGGAACUGAGACACGGUCCAUACUCCUACGGGAGGCAGCAGUAGGGAAUCUUCCGCAAUGGGCGCAAGCCUGAUGGAGCAACACCGCGUGAGUGAAGAAGGGUUUCGGCUCGUAAAGCUCUGUUGUUGAAGAAGAACGUGCGUGAGAGUAACUGUUCACGCAGUGACGGUUUCAACCAGAAAGUCACGGCUAACUACGUGCCAGCAGCCGCGGUAAUACGUAGGUGGCAAGCGUUAUCCGGAUUUAUUGGGCGUAAAGCGAGCGCAGGCGGUUGCUUAGGUCUGAUGUGAAAGCCUUCGGCUUAACCGAAGAAGUGCAUCGGAAACCGGGCGACUUGAGUGCAGAAGAGGACAGUGGAACUCCAUGUGUAGCGGUGGAAUGCGUAGAUAUAUGGAAGAACACCAGUGGCGAAGGCGGCUGUCUGGUCUGCAACUGACGCUGAGGCUCGAAAGCAUGGGUAGCGAACAGGAUUAGAUACCCUGGUAGUCCAUGCCGUAAACGAUGAGUGCUAGGUGUUGGAGGGUUUCCGCCCUUCAGUGCCGGAGCUAACGCAUUAAGCACUCCGCCUGGGGAGUACGACCGCAAGGUUGAAA